rnacentral:rRNA from 1 species
AGAGUUUGAUCAUGGCUCAGAGUGAACGCUGGCGGCGUGCCUAACACAUGCAAGUCGAACGAGAACGGACUAUAGCUUGCUAUAGUUGUCAGCUAAGUGGCGCACGGGUGAGUAAUAUAUAGUUAACCUGCCUUCAAGAAGAGAAUAAUUGCUGGAAACGGCUUGUAAUGCUCUAUAUGCCUUUAUGACAAAAGUCAGCAAGGGAAAUGCUUUAGUGCUUGAAGAUGGGACUGUACAGUAUCAGCUAGUUGGUGAGGUAAUGGCUCACCAAGGCUAUGACGCUUAACUGGUUUGAGAGGAUGAUCAGUCACACUGGAACUGAGACACGGUCCAGACUCCUACGGGAGGCAGCAGUGGGGAAUAUUGCACAAUGGAGGAAACUCUGAUGCAGCAACGCCGCGUGGAGGAUGACACAUUUCGGUGCGUAAACUCCUUUUAUAUGAGAAGAUAAUGACGGUAUCAUAUGAAUAAGCUCCGGCUAACUCCGUGCCAGCAGCCGCGGUAAUACGGGGGGAGCAAGCGUUACUCGGAAUCACUGGGCGUAAAGAGCAUGUAGGCUGGUAGAAAAGUUAGAAGUGAAAUCCUAUGGCUUAACCAUAGAACUGCUUCUAAAACUCUUUACCUAGAAUAUGGGAGAGGUAGAUGGAAUUUCUGGUGUAGGGGUAAAAUCCGUAGAGAUCAGAAGGAAUACCGAUUGCGAAGGCGAUCUACUGGAACAUUAUUGACGCUGAGAUGCGAAAGCGUGGGGAGCAAACAGGAUUAGAUACCCUGGUAGUCCACGCCCUAAACGAUGCACACUAGUUGUUGCCAUACUAGAUAUGGCAAUAAUGCAGUUAACACAUUAAGUGUGCCGCCUGGGGAGUACGGUCGCAAGAUUAAAACUCAAAGGAAAAGACGGGGACCCGCCCAAGCGGGGGAGCAUGGGGUUUAAUUCGACGAAACGCGAAAAACCUUACCUGGCCUUGACAUACCAAAAAGCUUUUAAGAGAAAGGAGUGGGCUAGCUUGCUAGAAUUUGGAUACAGGGGCUGCCCGGUUGCCUCCCCCUCUGGUCUGGAAUGUUGGGUUAAGUCCCGCACCGGGGCCACCCUCCGGGUUUAGUUC